rnacentral:lncRNA from 1 species
GGAAAAGUGCUGAGGUGGGGAGCGCUGGGCAGCUCUGGGUGGUGGAAGUGGCUCCCCAUGUGGAGCAGAGUGAGAGGAGUGUAGGAGGCAGGUUCAGGAGGGCGGAGCAGCAGGAAGGCCUUGGUGCCUUCAGCCUGCAGAGCACAGCAUCAUUGUCUGGGUGAGCCCAGAGCAACAGAAAUGUGUUUCUCACAGAGGCUGUGGGUCCACGACCGAGGUUCCGCAGAGUCCGUGUUUGGUGAGAGCUUGGGACUUGGAGGCUGGGGUCGAAGUCCACAGCUUGCUGAAAUCUCGCUGUUGCAUCGAGCCUGCUCUUCAGCCGUGAAUGAGUUAACCAGAAGGCGCCAGGUCUUCCAAUACAGAAGCAAUCCAGCACCGGAAGCAACACCAGCCAAGAUUGGUAUCUGUUUAUUCCUGAUGCUUGAGACAUAUUUGUUAUAUGUGCUUUUUAUUGAAGGAGCUUUUUUCAUAGAUAACUCGAUACAAAUUAUUUGAAAGAAAAUAUACUUUGUUAUUAUUUGGAAUAAGAAAAGGCAAUCAUAUUAGAAUGAGAUGUAGAUACAAAAUGAGAUCAUAGAAUAAUGGAUAUAAAAUUUGGCAAUUUAAACAGCCACUCAAAGGUAGGCAAUUUAUGAAUAAACUGCAAAAGAUGGUUUGAC